AUUAAAAAUCAGACCACCUGUCUCUUGAGCCUGUGUUCUCAGCCAUGUCUGUAUGUAAUGAUGUUUUACUAAUUUGGACAAAUGACAGUCCCCACCCUACCAUUAUACAGCAGGGGUGGAGUUCAUGAGUUCAAUUAGUUUGUUGAUGGCAAGUAAAGAUGCUACAUUAUCUGGUUGUAUCUAGAUGUUUUAUCUCCCAGACCACUGAGCAGCCACAGUUCCCAAAGGAGUAGCAAUUGGUCUGGGAGAGAGGGUUAAGAAGAGAGAGGAAAAAUUAAUUUCUCUUUCUCCUACAUUGUUUCUCUGAGUCCCAGGACAUGAUUGGUUAAGUGCCAACAGGAGUCAUGAUGACUCACAAUGCAGCUGAGAACCCUGUUACCAUUUGCAAUGACAAGAACUAAACACUAGCCACUACCACCAGGGUUACUCCUGGUUCAGGGCUGAAUACAGUCCACUGGGCAAUGAUCAGCAAUUCUGACUUCAAGAUCCAAUCACCCAGUGAAAGCUACAAGAGAACUCAGUACAAGAUAAAUGGGAAUGACAGUUGCACCCACCUCAAGGUGUUAUGAGGCUAGAUGAGUUUCUGCAUGUCAAGCCCUCAGAGAAGUGCCUGGCAAGCAGACAGUGCUCAGCUGAGGAGGGCUUUCUUGGUUGUGCUGUCUUUCUGAGGCAACGUGGAGUCUACCAGUCACGGACAAAGGACUCUCUGAAGUCAGUCCCAGCACA
rnacentral:lncRNA from 1 species